rnacentral:rRNA from 1 species
CCCUUAGAUGUUCUGGGCUGCACGCGCGCUACACUGAUGCGAUCAACAAGUUUUUCCUAUGUCGAUAGACACGGGUAAUCUUUUGAACUCGCAUCGUGAUGGGGAUAGAUUAUUGUAAUUAUUAAUCUUCAACGAGGAAUUCCUAGUAGGUGCAAAUCAUCAGUUUGCAUCGAUUACGUCCCUGCCCUUUGUACACACCGCCCGUCGCUGCUACCGAUUGGUUGAUCUGGUGAAUUAUUCGGACUGCUGGCUGAAGGGGUUUCCUCAUCUGCCAGCGGAAAGUCUUGUUAACCCUAUCAACUAGAGGAAGCAGAAGUCGUAACA